rnacentral:rRNA from 1 species
GGUUUUUAGAUUUUUAUUUAAGAUCGGGCCUGCCCAUUGAUUUUAAAAAUUAAAAGGCUGCGGUAUUUUAACUGUACGAAGGUAGCAUAAUCAUUUGUCUUUUAAUUGAAGGCUUGAAUGAAUGGUUUGAUGAAAAAUAAACUUUCUUAUUUUAAUAUAUUUGAAUUUAAUAUUUUAGUUAAAAAGCUAAAAUUUUUUUAUAGGACGAGAAGACCCUAUAGAAGUUAACUUUAUCUAUAAUUUUAUAUUUUUGGUUGAUAAAAUGUUUAUUUAGAAUAUAAAGUUUUGUUGGGGUGACAUUAAAAUUUUUUAAACUUUUAAUUAUUUUUAUUCAUAGAUUUAUGUUAUAAUGAUCCAGAAUUUUUGAUUAAGAGAUUAACUUACCUUAGGGAUAACAGCGUAAUCUAUACGGAGAGUUCAUAUCGAUGUAUAGGUUUGCGA